ACCUUGCAGUUGGAGCGAGAGAAGAGGAUAGUAACGGAUUUUUUUCUGGGUGUAGUAACCCUUGUCGGGACUUGUUUCAGACACCUUGAAGAUUUUCGUCCCAUUGCGUUGGUAGGACCGACGAGACGUACGACCACGCCCACCCAGUCCACGUUUCCGUACUAUUACCAUUUUCUACCAAAACUGUUAAUAAAUUGUGACGUUACAAUAAAUAAAUCGAACCUUUGUUUUCUUGGGACGCGGACGAAUUAUCCUGGAUGUCGAUACUCGAUUUUAGUUGUUUUUGUUGCAGGGCUGAUAGUAAGACUAGUAGGCGUAGGAACAUAGGGACUUGUUGUUCAGUCAUGCUGAAUUCCAUGCUACAAUAACACAGUAGGUGAAUAAUGAAGAUGACGUCACGCGUUUUCGCGCCACUUUUUCAAAUACGACCAAUCCCGAUUCGUAUUUUCAUUAAAUUCUUACCUGUUACAGUAAAUAUCCAAGCGAGUCAGUGACGUUUUAUUUGACGUUGACGAGUUGUAAGUUCUUAAUAAAUGCAUGGUCAUGGAACAACGAUACAACAUGGGUUCUUGGUAGAAAUCGAUUUUUCCCGACGCGUUUCUUUUGUCUAAACAUACCGUCAAAUCGUUGACGCCUAUCACUUUUCUCAUGAUAACGUGCGUUGGGGAGAUGUCUAUAAAUAAAUUCGUAAAACACAAAA